CAAAGGACGACAUUAGACGAAUCAUCUGGAAAGAUGAAUCAAAGAAGGUAAUAAUCCUGUAGUCGAAAAUGUUGUCUCUCUUGAGUGGAUCCUGAGUACGACGGAGCACGUGAAAUUCCGUCGGAAUCUGGGAGGACCAUCUCCUAAGGCUAAAUACUCUCUAGUGACCGAUAGUGAACCAGUACCGUGAGGGAAAGGUGAAAAGCACCCCGGAAGGGGAGUGAAAUAGAACCUGAAACCGUGUGCUUACAAGUAGUCAGAG
rnacentral:rRNA from 1 species